rnacentral:precursor_RNA from 10 species
ACAGGACCACGAUUUGAUUGCCCUAAAAUUUCGGGAAUAGCAGUAAAAUGCAUUGAAGUAUACAUCCUGUAUUAUGCUGUUAUUCACGAGAAGGAAGGGUUUGUGUCUACUUAAGAUUGCG